rfam:Monodelphis domestica cont3.069436, whole genome shotgun sequence.
GGCUGGGUAGCUCAGUGGAUUGAGAGCAAGCCUAGAUGUGGGAGGUCCUAGGUUCGAAUCCAGCCUCAGCCA